GGAAGCCAGCUCAUCUUUUGUGGCUCCAGAACCACAAGACUCCACAUAUAACCCGGAAGACUCAGUUACUGUGUUAACAGAGUCAUUGGAUAAGUCGGAAGGCUCCAGCCCCAUCCAUCAAGAGCCCUUAUCCAUUCACAAAAUGCGCAAGCUGCUUGUAUUUGAAUCUUGCCUCAUGGAGCUCUUUCAGAAGUGUCCAGUGUGCAGCAGAGUUUGUGAUGUCAAGAAGAACAUCAGGGGAACAUUCUUUGCCAUUGUCCAGCGAUGUCCACAUUGUCAGUACUGGAGACAAUGGAAGAGUCAGCCUGUGAUUGGACACUCCACCCCAGCCGGGAAUUUGCAACUUUCUGCUGCAAUCUACUUAAGUGGUGCUUCGUUUUUCACUGUGCAAAAGGUUUUCAAGGCCAUGCAGUUGCAGCUACACACUUACAAACAGUUCAGAAUACACUGCUGCAACUUCAUUGAGCC